rnacentral:rRNA from 1 species
ACGGGUGAGUAACACGUGAGCAACCUGCCCUUGGCUCUGGGAUAAGCCCGGGAAACUGGGUCUAAUACCGGAUACGACCAUUCCAGGAUUCUGGUGGUGGUGGAAAGUUUUUCGGCUGGGGAUGGGCUCGCGGCCUAUCAGCUUGUUGGUGGGGUAGUGGCCUACCAAGGCGACGACGGGUAGCCGGCCUGAGAGGGCGACCGGCCACACUGGGACUGAGACACGGCCCAGACUCCUACGGGAGGCAGCAGUGGGGAAUAUUGCACAAUGGGCGGAAGCCUGAUGCAGCGACGCCGCGUGCGGGAUGAAGGCCUUCGGGUUGUUAACCGCUUUCAGCAGGGACGAAUCAAGACGGUACCUGCAGAAGAAGCGCCGGCUAACUACGUGCCAGCAGCCGCGGUAAUACGUAGGGCGCAAGCGUUGUCCGGAAUUAUUGGGCGUAAAGAGCUCGUAGGCGGUUUGUCGCGUCUGUUGUGAAAGCCCGGGGCUUAACCCCGGGUCUGCAGUGGAUACGGGCAGGCUAGAGGCAGGUAGGGGAGAACGGAAUUCCCGGUGUAGCGGUGAAAUGCGCAGA